UCUCCUCAGCUAUGUCUAAUUUAUUAAUUGAGGGUGGAUGUACUCUGAUUUAGUUGCUUUUCUGGCCUGGCCCUAGAAGGAGGUUGUAGAAAAAUAUA